CGACAAAACUUUCAGCCAAAUGAUGACUUGUAUCUAGGCUGGAAAAUAGUUAAUGCAAGUGGAAUUCAUAUUGACUUUGAGAUAAGAACGUCAGUUGGCAGUGAUGGCAUUAAUCCAAGUAGACAAAUUUUAUUUAUUAGUGAUGCUCAAACUCAAUUGGAAUAUGAAGAUCAUCACUUUACUGGUUCAUCUACUGGAAAAUUUGAUAUUUGCAUUACGACACGUUUCGACAAAGGUGAUGAAAAUUCAAAGAAGCUUGUUUACUGGACAAUAAGGAAUUCAACGUAUUCAAAAAAAAAAUUAUUUAUAUGAAAAAAAUAUUUACAUUCGCGUUAUCUAUGACUAUACCAG